UACGUAGGGGGCAAGCGUUGUCCGGAUUUAUUGGGCGUAAAGAGCGUGUAGGCGGUUUGGUAGGUCCGCUGUGAAAAACUCGGAGCUCAACCUCGAGACGCCGGUGGAAACCAUCAGACUAGAGUCCGGAAGAGGCGAGUGGAAUUCCUGGUGUAGCGGUGGAAUGCGCAGAUAUCAGGAGGAACACCAAUAGCGAAGGCAGCUCGCUGGGACGUUACUGACACUAAGGCGCGAAAGCGUGGGGAGCGAACAGG
rnacentral:rRNA from 1 species